CAGCAGCCGCGGUAAUGCGUAGGUGGCAAGCGUUGUCCGGAAUUAUUGGGCGUAAAGGGCUCGCAGGCGGUUUCUUAAGUCUGAUGUGAAAGCCCCCGGCUCAACCGGGGAGGGUCAUUGGAAACUGGGAAACUUGAGUGCAGAAGAGGAGAGUGGAAUUCCACGUGUAGCGGUGAAAUGCGUGGAGAUGUGGAGGAACACCAGUGGCGAAGGCGACUCUCUGGUCUGUAACUGACGCUGAGGAGCGAAAGCGUGGGGAGCGAACAGGAUUAGAUACCCCGGUAGUCCCUGUCUCUUAUAC
rnacentral:rRNA from 1 species